rnacentral:misc_RNA from 1 species
GAUGAAGAACGCAGCGAAAUGCGAUAAGUAAUGUGAAUUGCAGAAUUCAGUGAAUCAUCGAAUCUUUGAACGCACAUUGCGCCCGUCAGUAUUCUGGCGGGCAUGCCUGUUCGAGCGUCAUUACGCCCCUCAAGUCCCCUGUGGACUUGGUGUUGGGGAUCGGCGAGGCUGGUUUUCCAGCACAGCCGUCCCUUAAAUUAAUUGGCGGUCUCGCCGUGGCCCUCCUCUGCGCAGUAGUAAAACACUCGCAAGAGGAGCCCGGCGCGGUCCACUGCCGUAAAACCCCCCAACUUUUUAUAGUUGACCUCGAAUCAGGUAGGACUACCCGCUGAACUUAAGCAUAUCAAUAAGCGGAGGA